GGUUAAGCGACUAAGCGUACACGGUGGAUGCCCUGGCAGUCAGAGGCGAUGAAGGACGUGCUAAUCUGCGAUAAGCGUCGGUAAGGUGAUAUGAACCGUUAUAACCGGCGAUUUCCGAAUGGGGAAACCCAGUGUGAUUCGUCACACUAUCAUUAACUGAAUCCAUAGGUUAAUGAGGCGAACCGGGGGAACUGAAACAUCUAAGUACCCCGAGGAAAAGAAAUCAACCGAGAUUCCCCCAGUAGCGGCGAGCGAACGGGGAGCAGCCCAGAGCCUGAAUCAGUGUGUGUGUUAGUGGAAGCGUCUGGAAAGGCGUGCGAUACAGGGUGACAGCCCCGUACACAAAAAUGCACAUACUGUGAGCUCGAUGAGUAGGGCGGGACACGUGGUAUCCUGUCUGAAUAUGGGGGGACCAUCCUCCAAGGCUAAAUACUCCUGACUGACCGAUAGUGAACCAGUACCGUGAGGGAAAGGCGAAAAGAACCCCGGCGAGGGGAGUGAAAAAGAACCUGAAACCGUGUACGUACAAGCAGUGGGAGCACGCUUAGGCGUGUGACUGCGUACCUUUUGUAUAAUGGGUCAGCGACUUAUAUUCUGUAGCAAGGUUAACCGAAUAGGGGAGCCGAAGGGAAACCGAGUCUUAACUGGGCGUUAAGUUGCAGGGUAUAGACCCGAAACCCGGUGAUCUAGCCAUGGGCAGGUUGAAGGUUGGGUAACACUAACUGGAGGACCGAACCGACUAAUGUUGAAAAAUUAGCGGAUGACUUGUGGCUGGGGGUGAAAGGCCAAUCAAACCGGGAGAUAGCUGGUUCUCCCCGAAAGCUAUUUAGGUAGCGCCUCGUGAAUUCAUCUCCGGGGGUAGAGCACUGUUUCGGCAAGGGGGUCAUCCCGACUUACCAACCCGAUGCAAACUGCGAAUACCGGAGAAUGUUAUUACGGGAGACACACGGCGGGUGCUAACGUCCGUCGUGAAGAGGGAAACAACCCAGACCGCCAGCUAAGGUCCCAAAGUCAUGGUUAAGUGGGAAACGAUGUGGGAAGGCCCAGACAGCCAGGAUGUUGGCUUAGAAGCAGCCAUCAUUUAAAGAAAGCGUAAUAGCUCACUGGUCGAGUCGGCCUGCGCGGAAGAUGUAACGGGGCUAAACCAUGCACCGAAGCUGCGGCAGCGACGCUUAUGCGUUGUUGGGUAGGGGAGCGUUCUGUAAGCCUGUGAAGGUGUGCUGUGAGGUAUGCUGGAGGUAUCAGAAGUGCGAAUGCUGACAUAAGUAACGAUAAAGCGGGUGAAAAGCCCGCUCGCCGGAAGACCAAGGGUUCCUGUCCAACGUU
rnacentral:rRNA from 1 species